rnacentral:rRNA from 1 species
GACGACCGCUGGCGGCGUGCUUAACACAUGCAAGUCGAACGGAAAGGCCCUGCUUUUGUGGGUUGCUCGAGUGGCGAACGGGUGGGUAACACGUGAGUAACCUGCCCUUGACUUUGGGAUAACUUCAGGAAACUGGGGCUAAUACCGGAUAGGAGCUCCUGCUGCAUGGGGGGGGUUGGAAAGUUUCGGCGGUUGGGGAUGGACUCGCGGCUUAUCAGCUUGUUGGUGGGGUAGUGGCUUACCAAGGCUUUGACGGGUAGCCGGCCUGAGAGGGUGACCGGCCACAUUGGGACUGAGAUACGGCCCAGACUCCUACGGGAGGCAGCAGUGGGGAAUAUUGCACAAUGGGCGGAAGCCUGAUGCAGCAACGCCGCGUGCGGGAUGACGGCCUUCGGGUUGUAAACCGCUUUCGCCUGUGACGAAGCGUGAGUGACGGUAAUGGGUAAAGAAGCACCGGCUAACUACGUG